rnacentral:rRNA from 1 species
CGGGUUGUAAAGUACUUUCAGCGGGGAGGAAGGGAGUAAAGUUAAUACCUUUGCUCAUUGACGUUACCCGCAGAAGAAGCACCGGCUAACUCCGUGCCAGCAGCCGCGGUAAUACGGAGGGUGCAAGCGUUAAUCGGAAUUACUGGGCGUAAAGCGCACGCAGGCGGUUUGUUAAGUCAGAUGUGAAAUCCCCGGGCUCAACCUGGGAACUGCAUCUGAUACUGGCAAGCUUGAGUCUCGUAGAGGGGGGUAGAAUUCCAGGUGUAGCGGUGAAAUGCGUAGAGAUCUGGAGGAAUACCGGUGGCGAAGGCGGCCCCCUGGACGAAGACUGACGCUCAGGUGCGAAAGCGUGGGGAGCAAACAGGAUUAGAACCCCCGGUAGAGAU